rnacentral:rRNA from 1 species
GAUGAACGCUAGCGGCAGGCCUAAUACAUGCAAGUCGAACGCUCAGUAGCAAUACUGGGAGUGGCGCACGGGUGCGUAACGCGUACACAAUCUACCUCUAAGCGGGGGACACCUCCUGGAAACGGGGAUUAAUACCGCAUAAUAUGCCGAAGUCGCAUGACUUUGGUAUUAAAGCAGCAAUGCACUUAGAGAUGAGUGUGCGUCCCAUUAGGUAGUUGGUGAGGUAACGGCUCACCAAGCCUAUGAUGGGUAGCCGGUCUGAGAGGAUGGUCGGCCACACGGGCACUGAGACACGGGCCCGACUCCUACGGGAGGCAGCAGUAAGGAAUAUUGGUCAAUGGUGGAAACACUGAACCAGCCAUGCCGCGUGGAGGAAUAAGGUCCUACGGAUUGUAAACUCCUUUUGACGAGGAAGAAAAUGUUAGAUUAUCUAAUUUUGACGGUACUCGUAGAAUAAGCACCGGCUAACUACCGUGCCAGCAGCCGCGGUAAU